rnacentral:rRNA from 1 species
ACGGGAGGCAGCAGUGAGGAAUAUUGGUCAAUGGAGGCAACUCUGAACCAGCCAUCUCGCGUGAAGGAAUACGGCCCUAUGGGUCUUAAACUUCUUUUAUAGGGGGAUAAAGUGAGGCAUGUAUGCCUUUUUGUAGGUACCCUAUGAAUAAGCAUCGGCUAACUCCGUGCCAGCAGCCGCGGUAAUACGGAGGAUGCGAGCAUUAUCCGGAUUUAUUGGGUUUAAAGGGUGCGCAGGCGGCACGUUAAGUCAGCGGUGAAAUGUCGGGGCUCAACCCGGGCACUGCCGUUGAAACUGGCGAGCUUGAGUACGGAUGAAGUUGGCGGAAUGUGAUGUGUAGCGGUGAAAUGCUUAGAUAUGUCACAGAACCCCGAUUGCGAAGGCAGCUUACUAGGAUACAACUGACGCUGAGGCACGAAAGCGUGGGUAUCAAACAGGAUUAGAUACCCUGGUA